GACCGCGAACAAGUUCAACAACCGUGAGUNGCGGGCGGGCUCGGGAAACCUUGCCCGCCGGCNCUCNUGCAAAACUAAACUCUCGGCGNGGAAUGCGCCAAGGNCUACUCAAAAUGGGUUGCCGGCAGCNUUGCGGAUUCCGCGAGGCGUGCCAGGCAUCUUAUCGUUUAACAAAAAGACUCUCGGCAACGGAUAUNUAGGCUCUCGCAUCGAUGAAGAACGUAGCGAAAUGCGAUACUUGGUGUGAAUUGCAGAAUCCCGUGAACCAUCGAGUUUUUGAACGCAAGUUGCGCCCGAAGCCAUCNGGUUGAGGGCACGUCUGCCUGGGCGUCACGCAUCCAGUCGCCACCCCUCCCGAAGUUACGGAGAGAGGUGGCGGACGUUGGCUUCCCGUGUUCUUGAGGCGCGGUUGGCCUAAAUACGAGUCUUUGGCGCGAGACGUCACGACAAGUGGUGGUUGAAAUCCUCAACUCGUGUGCUGUCGUGGCCUCGCCCGAUCGCAGGCUCCACCGACCCUAGAGCUCUCGACCCAAAAUUGAGUUGCGGGCCU
rnacentral:rRNA from 1 species